rnacentral:rRNA from 1 species
UACGAAGGGGGCUAGCGUUGCUCAGAAUUACUGGGCGUAAAGGGUUCGUAGGUGGCUCGCUAAGUCAGACGUGAAAUCCCUCAGCUUAACUGGGGAACUGCGUCUGAGACUGGCAAGCUUGAGUGCAGGAGAGGAACGCGGAAUUCCAGGUGUAGCGGUGAAAUGCGUAGAUAUCUGGAGGAACACCGGUGGCGAAGGCGGCGUUCUGGACUGUAACUGACACUGAAGAACGAAAGCCAGGGGAGCAAACGGG